rnacentral:rRNA from 1 species
CUGAACUUAAGCAUAUCAAUAAGCGGAGGAAAAGAAACCAACAGGAUUGCCCCAGUAACGGCGAGUGAAGCGGCAACAGCUCAAAUUUGAAAUCUGCCCUCCGGGGGGGCCCGAGUUGUAAUUUGCAGAGGAUGCUUCUGGCGAGGUGCCUUCCGAGUUCCCUGGAACGGGACGCCACAGAGGGUGAGAGCCCCGUCUGGUCGGACACCG